rnacentral:piRNA from 1 species
UGUUAUUAUUGUUUUUUUUAAAAGUGCUU